AACUUUGCUUCAGGAUGAGAACAGAAAUCGUUCUCCGGUGGCGUGGCAGCAGCAGGAGGCCCCAUUAGCUAAAAUGGUGCUUCAGGUUAAGAACAGUUUCAGGUUAAGUACAGACCUCCGGAACGAAUUAAGUACUUAACCCGAGCUACCACUGUAAGUGGGCCACGUAGCAGCAGUGGACAGGGGAGAAAGCAAAAAAGGCACGUUUGGGCGACAGAGGGCUAUGCACUGCAGUGUCUUUACUCCCAAACACAGGGUAUCAUAUAUAUAUUUUAGGGGUGGGGGACGGACACAGGUAUUGUCCCUGCCUAGAAUUACAACAGGAAGCAGCUAUCGCCCAAAGUGCAUGGGCAACAGAGCUCAGGAUCUGAAGUGCUGGUAAGCUCCUGCUAAACCCAAGCCGUAGGACCUGUGUUGGCAUUGAAGAAACCCAGCCAGUCCCCUCCAUAAGGGCCACCUUGUGCCCCCUUUGGAGGCAGAGGGGGAAUUAAAGCUCAGCAGUAUAGAUCGCAUUUGGGAAAAACUCCUUCCCAAGACCCUGGGAAGCUGAUGUCAGGCAGCGCAGAGUAGGCAAGAAGCAGCCAUUUUAGAAACUGGCGCCGCGACCUAGCCGACACCUGGUCGGAGGCAGGGGGCCGAGGAGCAACGUGUUGGGAUUAUAAGCUUCUUUGCUCAGUAAUUAAAUUUAAUUAAAAACCAAAGAAAUAUGACACCGAGUUUUCCUUUUCUCCCACCUCCAAGACCCUGCGAUUGCAGUUUUAAUUUAUAUUGCUGCAACAGCAGGGAGGCGAGGGAGGAAGCACGGAAUAUGGAAUCGACGGCAAAGUUUUCCAACUGCAAGAAAGGUGGCUUUGAGAUUAGAAAGAGCUUGCAGGAGCGACGGGAGAAAAUGGCUCUUUUUGGGAUACGGGACCAAGACGAUAUUGGUAGAAUACGCCGUAUCCGCCUGCCUAGUAGAGAUGCCUGGGACAGUUCCUUAUAACAACAGGAGUUUUGAGUUGCGUAUUCUGAUAAAGGAAGCAUAUAGCCCAACACUCUGGAAGCACACAAGAGAGUUUCCAAGAUUGCAGUACAGCCGGGUCUCACAAUUAACGUUAUAUCUCAUGCAUGUCUUAAAUAGAGCAGCCACAGUUGCUUCCUUUAAACCCUACUCCUUUAAAAAAAAAAAAGGCAUCUAUUCCCAAGUUAUUCCCAAAUUAUUCCCAAGUUGUUGGGGGGUUUUGCGCUAUUUGGCACCUACCUCCGUGGGUUCAUUGUAGUAUGAAGUCCAUUCGGAAAUGUCGUGCGAUUCCAUCUUGACAGAGCCCAGCAUUCCAAAAUCCCAGUAAGAAAGGGGGGGAAGGGAAUCUUGCGAGCGCACACUAAUUUUAAAAUUUUU